AUGAGUCGACCUGAUGGGAUCAACAUCCCCGACGGCAAGUUCUACCUUGGAAAUGCUGGCUAUGCAUGUCGGCCGGGUAUUCUUCCACCCUUCAGGAAAACAAGGUACCAUCUCAACGAGUUCUCUGGUAGGAACUUUCCUAGGACUGCACAUGAGUUGUUUAAUCUCACACACUCCAGCCUUAGAGUAACUGUUGAGAGGGCAUUUGGAGCUCUGAAGAAUAUGUUUAAGAUCCUGGAUCAGAAGCCAUUCCACCCAUACUCCACUCAAGUUAAGCUAGUUCUUGCUUGUUGCAUUAUGCAUAACUGGAUCCUCUAG
rnacentral:rRNA from 1 species